GCCAGUGUGGCGGAAUCCGGUAACGCGGCGGUCUUGAAAACCGCUGUCCUUCGGGACGUGCAGGUUCAAAUCCUGCCGCUGGCG
rnacentral:tRNA from 1 species